CCGAGUACCGGGUCUCUCAGGCCCAAUACUCCCACCCUUUUGUGUACCUUACCAUUUCUUCGUUGCCUUGGCGGGGUUGAUCCUCUUCUUUUUCUUUAAAAAGAGGGGGGAACUCGCCAGGGGAACACCCUUUAAACUCUUUUAUGAAUCGAGUCGUCUGAGAAAAAUAAACAAAUAAAUUA
rnacentral:misc_RNA from 1 species